UUAAAAGUAGUUAAAUUAUAACUUAGAAUUGUCAGUUCUAGAUUCCUUUAAUAAAGGCUUUUUAU
rnacentral:tRNA from 1 species